rnacentral:rRNA from 1 species
CAGCCGUCUAAGGUGGGACAGAUGAUUAGGGUGAAGUCGUAACAAGGUAGCCGUAGGAGAACCUGCGGCUGGAUCACCUCCUUUCUAAGGAAAAUUCGG